UGGGGCCUACGGGAGGCAGCAGUGAGGAAUAUUGGUCAAUGGGCGCGAGCCUGAACCAGCCAAGUCGCGUGAGGGAUGACGGCCCUACGGGUUGUAAACCUCUUUUGUCGGGGAGCAAAUUCCGUUACGUGUAACGGAGUCGAGAGUACCCGAAGAAAAAGCAUCGGCUAACUCCGUGCCAGCAGCCGCGGUAAUACGGAGGAUGCGAGCGUUAUCCGGUUUUAUUGGGCUUAAAGGGUGCGUAGGCGGACUGUCAAGUCAGCGGUAAAAUACGGGGGCUCAACCUCCGCCCGCCGUGGA
rnacentral:rRNA from 1 species